rnacentral:rRNA from 1 species
CAGCAGCCGCGGUAAUACGUAGGGUGCGAGCGUUAAUCGGAUUUACUGGGCGUAAAGCGUGCGCAGGCGGCCCGUUAAGACAGGUGUGAAAUCCCUGGGCUCAACCUAGGAAUUGCGCUUGUGACUGGCGGGCUCGAGUACGGUAGAGGGGGGUGGAAUUCCUGGUGUAGCAGUGAAAUGCGUAGAGAUCAGGAGGAACACCGAUGGCGAAGGCAGCCUCCUGGGCCUGUACUGACGCUCAUGCACGAAAGCGUGGGGAGCAAACAGGAUUAGAUACCCUGGUAGUCCACGCCCUAAACGAUGGGUACUAGCCGUUUGGUGCGCGAUAGCGCUGAGUGGCGAAGCUAACGCGAGAAGUACCCCGCCUGGGGAGUACGGCCGCAAGGUUGAAACUUAAAGGAAUUGGCGGG